rnacentral:lncRNA from 1 species
GUUGCCUUAAUUAAGGAGAGAUGGAUAAUAUUUUCUUGGAUGAAAGUGAUAGAGGUGAGGAUGAAGAGAAGUGGUCAGAUUCUACAUACAAUUAUCAGAGAAACAGGAGUUCCUGAGAAUGUGGAUAUGAUGAGAAGUGACUCAGGGGAAGGAUGAUGUCAAGCUGUUGUCAAGCCAAUUGCAUGGAAAGAGAAGAAUUAACGUGAUCUCCCUUCAAAAUGAUGGAUUCCCUGGCUCCACAUUCAUCAUCUGGCUCACCAUUACCAACUCUUUGCAGUCCAUUGCAGGGUGACCUUGUUAGCACUGUCUGUGCACUUUCUGUGAUAGCGGGCUGCCUGGGGGCCCUGCAUGUGUGGUGUGGGUUAAUGAGGGUCUGAGUCAUCAAGUUAGAAACUCACCUUUCCAGCCAUCAGAUCCAGAAAUGCUAGAAAAAGGCACAGGGCUCAUAAUCAGACAUGCCAUGUUGACCAAAGAGUAAUGUCUCAUCCUGGUGAGAUCGUCCACAGGACCUGUGCUGAAUAAUUGUCAGGCAGCCAUGAGACCAUGGUAAGCUCCCAUACUAUCUAGAGGUCAAUUUAUCAUCCAAGAUGGCCUGCUUUGCAGAUUGCAGCAUGCAUACCCUCUGCAGCACCAGGUAGCAGGCAGCAGGAGAGGUAGCCCCACAAUAACACAGCAUGUGUCCCUAGAGCAUCUUCUUAUUGAAAUGGGAGAUUUAAAACCUUUUAAAGAAAACUAAUGGUCCUGUUUGUUGUCUAAGGAUAAAGACGAGUACAUUUUAAUGGUGAAAUAAAGAAACUUCAAAUAAAUUUUGCACUUGAAGCUGGCCUUCUGAGUCCCUCUCUCAAACCUGCCCCCAUCUCAUAGUUUCCCACUCCCCUGCUGCUCAGGAUACUUCAGUGGGAAAGUUUAAACAAAACACACUAAGACAGUGUUUUCCAAACAGUGGGUCAUGACCCAUUAGUGGACUGUGAAAAUAAAUUUAGUGGAUACAACCAACAUUAAAAAAUAAAAAAAAGAAAUAGGAGCUGGGUGCAGUGGUGUGUGCCUGUAGUCUCAGGUACUUGGGAGGCUGAGUGGGGAGGAUUGCUUGAGUCUAGAAGUUCGAGGCUGCAAUGAUCUAUGAUGGUGCUUGUGAAUAGCCACUGAGUCUAGCCUGGGCAACAUAGC